GAUGAAGAACGUAGCGAAAUGCGAUACGUAAUGUGAAUUGCAGAUCUCUCAGUGAACCAUCGAAUUUUUGAACGCACAUUGCGCCCGCCAGCAUUCUGGCGGGCAUGCCUGUUCGAGCGUCAUUUCAACCCUCGAGCCCCCCCGGGGGCCUCGGUGUUGGGGGACGGCACACGAGCCGCCCCCGAAAUGCAGUGGCGACCCCGCCGCAGCCUCCCCUGCGUAGUAGCACACACCUCGCACCGGAGCGCGGAGGCGGUCACGCCGUAAAACGCCCAACUUUCUUAGAGUUGACCUCGGAUCAGGUAGGAAUACCCGCUGAACUUAAGCAUAUCAAUAAGCGGAGGA
rnacentral:misc_RNA from 1 species